rnacentral:rRNA from 1 species
AGUACGCGUGAGGAACCUGCCUCAAAGGAGGGGGACAACAGUUGGAAACGACUGCUAAUACCGCAUAAGCCCACGGCUCGGCAUCGAGCAGAGGGAAAAGGAGCAAUCCGCUUUGAGAUGGCCUCGCGUCCGAUUAGCUGGUUGGUGAGGUAAUGGCCCACCAAGGCGACGAUCGGUAGCCGGACUGAGAGGUUGAACGGCCACAUUGGGACUGAGACACGGCCCAG